rnacentral:rRNA from 1 species
GACGGAGGGCGCAAGCGUUGUUCGGAAUUACUGGGCGUAAAGCGCGGGCAGGUGGUCUGUUAAGUCGUUUGUGAAAAUCCGGGGCUCAACCCCGUGAAAUGCGUACGAUACUGGCAGGCUGGAGAUCGGUAGAGGCUAGCGGAAUUCCUGGUGUAGCGGUGGAAUGCGUAGAGAUCAGGAAGAACACCCGUGGCGAAGGCGGCUAGCUGGGCCGAGUCUGACACUCAUCAGCGAAAGCGUGGGGAGCAAACAGG